UCAUCAGGUAGGAUAAUCCUUACCUGCUCCUUUAUUCAGAGGGCACAUGGGACAUGAUGAUUAGAGUUUGCAUGAUUCAUGAUUAACUUCUCUGUAAGACUAACACUUAGAAUACCCUAAUAGCUCCUACCUGAU
ensembl:snoRNA U8 U8 small nucleolar RNA